rnacentral:lncRNA from 1 species
CGUCGUAUAAAAUAAAGAUGUGGUAUACUAUACUUGGCAUGUGGCUAGCAUGAAAGGUCAUCAUUCCAUCAGACAGUUUCACUUGACCUCAUAUCAUGGAUCAGUGAACGAGUUUUUUUGUGGUCAUGCCUAUAUCUCAGAUACUAUAAGCAAUAGGUUUACUAUAUUUGGUGUACGUAAUAAUUGUAAGGUGUACAGGUGUCAUCUGAUCAUCAACCUCAUUUUCAGGGUUCAUUGUACAAUGUUGAUUUUUUGUUGUUUGAUCUGUUUCUGGGGUACUAUUAGCGAUAGGACCACUACAAUUUGUGCAUGGAAUUAUUGUAAGGUGCAUACAUCUGUCUAGCAUUAUUCAUCAGAAUAUGACCUCAUUUUCAUAGAACAUUGUGAUAAUUGUAAUAAAACCCAACAUAUUAUAGACUUUCUACAUGAAAUCAAUGAUAAGUAAA